CAGCCGCCACGGGAAUACGUAGGGUGCAAGCGUUAAUCGGAAUUACUGGGCAUAAAGCGUGCGCAGGCGGUUAUAUAAGACAGAUGUGAAAUCCCCGGGCUCAACCUGGGAACUGCAUUUGUGACUGUAUAGCUAGAGUACGGCAGAGGGGGAUGGAAUUCCGCGUGUAGCAGUGAAAUGCGUAGAUAUGCGGAGGAACACCGAUGGCGAAGGCAAUCCCCUGGGCCUGUACUGACGCUCAUGCACGAAAGCGUGGGGAGCAAACAGGAUUAGAUACCCCCGUAGUCCCUGUCUCUUAUCC
rnacentral:rRNA from 1 species